rnacentral:rRNA from 1 species
UACGUAGGUGGCAAGCGUUGUCCGGAAUUAUUGGGCGUAAAGCGCGCGCAGGCGGUCCUUUAAGUCUGAUGUGAAAGCCCCACGGCUCAACCCGUGGAGGGUCAUUGGAAACUGGGGGACUUGAGUGCAGGAGAGAAGAGUGGAAUUCCACGUGUAGCGGUGAAAUGCGUAGAGAUGUGGAGGAACACCAGUGGCGAAGGCGACUCUUUGGCCUGUAACUGACGC